rnacentral:rRNA from 1 species
CGCUGGCGGCAGGCCUAACACAUGCAAGUCGAGCGGUAGAGAGAAGCUUGCUUCUCUUGAGAGCGGCGGACGGGUGAGUAAUGCCUAGGAAUCUGCCUGGUAGUGGGGGAUAACGUUCGGAAACGGACGCUAAUACCGCAUACGUCCUACGGGAGAAAGCAGGGGACCUUCGGGCCUUGCGCUAUCAGAUGAGCCUAGGUCGGAUUAGCUAGUUGGUGAGGUAAUGGCCCACCAAGGCGACGAUCCGUAACUGGUCUGAGAGGAUGAUCAGUCACACUGGAACUGAGACACGGUCCAGACUCCUACGGGAGGCAGCAGUGGGGAAUAUUGGACAAUGGGCGAAAGCCUGAUCCAGCCAUGCCGCGUGUGUGAAGAAGGUCUUCGGAUUGUAAAGCACUUUAAGUUGGGAGGAAGGGUUGUAGAUUAAUACUCUGCAAUUUUGACGUUACCGACAGAAUAAGCACCGGCUAACUCUGUGCCAGCAGCCGCGGUAAUACAGAGGGUGCAAGCGUUAAUCGGAAUUACUGGGCGUAAAGCGCGCGUAGGUGGUUUGUUAAGUUGGAUGUGAAAUCCCCGGGCUCAACCUGGGAACUGCAUUCAAAACUGACUGACUAGAGUAUGGUAGAGGGUGGUGGAAUUUCCUGUGUAGCGGUGAAAUGCGUAGAUAUAGGAAGGAACACCAGUGGCGAAGGCGACCACCUGGACUAAUACUGACACUGAGGUGCGAAAGCGUG